GGCGUUAGAAGUAGUUAAUUUUUAUGACGUUAUGAAUUGAUUCAGCGUGCAAUCUAAAACGGAAUUAGUUAACAGAAAAAAAAAAUUACUGGAGAACUCGAGAUCUCAAAUAAAAAAGAAAUGUGAAGCUGGAGCUGAGUUUAAGAUCUAAAUUAAAGUAGCAAAGUCAUUUUUAAAAAACAACAAAGACGAUUCUUUUUCUGUUUCUGAUUCAUUCUCUCCCGGCUCCCGUAGUUACAUUGUCAAAGAAAAGAUCAAUACUUGAAUGGGGAUGAUUGAGGGAGAUUUUAAUUACGUUACCUACCUGUUGUGGCAUACCCUAUUAAUUUUCAUUCAUCAUAGACCAUUGUGUUGUUUCAUAAUUAGUAAUUCUGGGUUGUUAGCUUUUCGUGGAUCUUAGUGUUCAUUUAUGACUCAUAGCUGGACAAAAAAAUGUUCGACUUUAAAUACUUGUACUUUUUUCUUCUCUGUUCAUUUUUUCCCUGGCACCUCUAUCUUAGCUUAUUUCCCAACAGGAUUGUUAAAAGUCAGCAUGGUUCUAAGUUCGACGCAUUUGUUGAUUUGGUAACGUUCUCGUUAUCAAUAAUUAAACUAGCGAUACCAACCAUUAGCUCGUUACAGACAUUGGACAAUCACAAAGCCGAUGGUGAAAUUGAUAGACAAAUAUGUUAUUGCCGCACUUAAAUGCACCUAGGUUAGGUGGAAAGAGCUCUCCCGAAAAAAUGAGUAAAAACAUUUUCAGAUUAUUAUUAAUCAUUUUUACUAUUACCAGUUGUUGGGCCAGCAUUAUCCCUUCACCGCAGCAAAAUUCAAGAAAGAAUACCUCGAAUAUCCGUGAUCAAUUGGAAGGUGAUCCUCAAUCUGCCAGGCUUCUUUUGAACAAUGAUUUUGAAGAUGGCCUAGCUGACCCGUGGUACGACAGUUCGUUGGGUCCCGUCCACUGGACUGUCGAGGAUUUUUCAUCUCCCACUGAAAUCAACUAUCCACCACCAACUCCAUCAACAGGCACCAAAUAUUUACGAGCUACGAGGGACGCCCAGUUAAGUCCCGGUCUUCUUGUUUUGCGGACAGUAACUUUUACGGCACUGCCGGGUGAUCGGAUCUCGUUCAAUUUCUGGAUUCGAUCAAAAUACACCUUUGGGAACACUUUAGAGCUCGUAUUGGUUGUUGGCGAUGCAGAAACGACUUUGUUAACAUUGUCGAGUUACUCCACUACGGUGAAUUUUGAAUGGCGUCCAGCCUCUACCUCCAUCCCAGUUACGUCACCAACCGACUUGACGUUGAUAUUUUACGCAAACUGUGGGAGUAACGCAGAAGAUGCUGUCGCCAUUGACGACAUCGUUCUUGUUUCCACACAAGGUUCCACUACUGAUGGAAUAACAGCGUCCAUCAUAUCGACGACAUCCAUGCCACCUACGAGGGCAACUCCUGAACCUAAAAAUUGCCCAGCCUUUCUUCCGGGCACCACAGCCGUUCCGUGCGUAACGUUAGGAACUGGGUGCUAUUGUAUAUCUGAUCGUACUUCUGGGUACCUUGAUUGGGCAGACGCAGAUGCAAUCUGCAGAAAAGGAAAUAUGACUCUUGUUAGCCUUGAGACUGAAGGAGAGGAAAGCUUAAUCUACAAAUAUUGGCAAGUCACACCAGAGUUGGGUGCCGAACAGUACUGGACUUCAGGCAAAUUUCCCCUAAAAGGAAGCCAGCGAACAUGGGAAUGGGCUGCUACAGAACCGUACCAACGAUUCAAUUACACUAACUGGGGUCCUGAUGAACCUGACUACAACCAAGAUGGAUACUGCGCCUAUCUUUUCAUGGAUUUCGAUUUUGAGAACGGAUAUUUUUGGAUCGACAUCGCCUGUUCAUCUUCGUUGUACAACUUCAUCUGUGAACUGUAAUAUGGCGGCCGAUGUUUGUGUUAAUCAAAUAACUGUUUAGCGUAGCGUAAACAGCAAUUUUUGGUAUUCGAAGUACUAUGCACACGCGAAGAGAUCUUACGAUAGUUUAGUUCGAAGAUAAAUCAAAUGUAGAACUCCUGUGGUCGGCUUUGAAUCAGUUCAGGUAAGUACAAUAUCUCCCAUUGCAAUUCAAGGAAGCAAGAACAAAUUCGGUUGUUUUGUUUGAAUGAACUUUGGAGUCGAUCGCUACAAUACGCACAAUUUUACUGGUGAAAGAAAAAAAAGGUUUUUUAGCAAAACUUGUGAAAAUCGAAGUUCGAUUAGCCCAGAAAAAACAUGAUCACUAUAGAUAAUUAAAGCACGAUUUGGAGGCAUUAAGUAAAUAAAAGUCAGAUAAGAAAUUGAUGAAACCAAGGGUCAAACUUGUAGAUCCAACUGUGUAUUUAAUUAACUAGUAAUCAACUAGUAUUGAUGCAUUGCCUCAUAAAUGUACUUUCGUCCCUUCCUCUUUAGCGUUUAUCAAGCGAUAAUGUUGCGUUAAAAUUAGCACGUGAGACGUGGUU